AUUGAACGCUGGCGGCAGGCCUAACACAUGCAAGUCGGACGGUAGCACAGAGAGCUUGCUCUCGGGUGACGAGUGGCGGACGGGUGAGUAAUGUCUGGGGAUCUGCCCGAUAGAGGGGGAUAACCACUGGAAACGGUGGCUAAUACCGCAUAACGUCGCAAGACCAAAGAGGGGGACCUUCGGGCCUCUCACUAUCGGAUGAACCCAGAUGGGAUUAGCUAGUAGGCGGGGUAACGGCCCACCUAGGCGACGAUCCCUAGCUGGUCUGAGAGGAUGACCAGCCACACUGGAACUGAGACACGGUCCAGACUCCUACGGGAGGCAGCAGUGGGGAAUAUUGCACAGUGGGCGCAAGCCUGAUGCAGCCAUGCCGCGUGUAUGAAGAAGGCCUUCGGGUUGUAAAGUACUUUCAGCGGGGAGGAAGGCGAUGUGGUUAAUAACCGCAUUGAUUGACGUUACCCGCAGAAGAAGCACCGGCUAACUCCGUGCCAGCAGCAGCCGCCG
rnacentral:rRNA from 1 species